rnacentral:rRNA from 1 species
GUCUACGGCCAUACCACCCAGAAUGCUCCUGAUCUCAUCUGAUCUCAGAAGCUAAGCAGGGUUGGGCCUGGUUAGUACUUGGAAGGGAGAUAAAAUCUUCAUCUGAUCAUCACUUUUGUCAAGAGGAUGACAGAGAUC